rnacentral:rRNA from 1 species
GGAUUAGAUACCCUGGUAGUCCACGCCGUAAACGAUGUCUACUAGUUGUCGGGAGACUUGAUCUUUUGGUAACGAAGCUAACGCGAUAAGUAGACCGCCUGGGGAGUACGGCCGCAAGGUUAAAACUCAAAUGAAUUGACGGGGGCCCGCACAAGCGGUGGAGCAUGUGGUUUAAUUCGAAGCAACGCGAAGAACCUUACCUGGCCUUGACAUCCUGCGAACCUUCUAGAGAUAGGAGGGUGCCUUCGGGAACGCAGAGACAGGUGCUGCAUGGCUGUCGUCAGCUCGUGCUG